rnacentral:rRNA from 1 species
UUAAGCGACUAAGCGUACACGGUGGAUGCCCUGGCAGUCAGAGGCGAUGAAGGACGUGCUAAUCUGCGAUAAGCGUCGGUAAGGUGAUAUGAACCGUUAUAACCGGCGAUUUCCGAAUGGGGAAACCCAGUGUGUUUCGACACACUAUCAUUAACUGAAUCCAUAGGUUAAUGAGGCGAACCGGGGGAACUGAAACAUCUAAGUACCCCGAGGAAAAGAAAUCAACCGAGAUUCCCCCAGUAGCGGCGAGCGAACGGGGAGGAGCCCAGAGCCUGAAUCAGUGUGUGUGUUAGUGGAAGCGUCUGGAAAGGCGCGCGAUACAGGGUGACAGCCCCGUACACAAAAAUGCACAUGCUGUGAGCUCGAUGAGUAGGGCGGGACACGUGGUAUCCUGUCUGAAUAUGGGGGGACCAUCCUCCAAGGCUAAAUACUCCUGACUGACCGAUAGUGAACCAGUACCGUGAGGGAAAGGCGAAAAGAACCCCGGCGAGGGGAGUGAAAAAGAACCUGAAACCGUGUACGUACAAGCAGUGGGAGCACGCUUAGGCGUGUGACUGCGUACCUUUUGUAUAAUGGGUCAGCGACUUAUAUUCUGUAGCAAGGUUAACCGAAUAGGGGAGCCGAAGGGAAACCGAGUCUUAACUGGGCGUUAAGUUGCAGGGUAUAGACCCGAAACCCGGUGAUCUAGCCAUGGGCAGGUUGAAGGUUGGGUAACACUAACUGGAGGACCGAACCGACUAAUGUUGAAAAAUUAGCGGAUGACUUGUGGCUGGGGGUGAAAGGCCAAUCAAACCGGGAGAUAGCUGGUUCUCCCCGAAAGCUAUUUAGGUAGCGCCUCGUGAAUUCAUCUCCGGGGGUAGAGCACUGUUUCGGCAAGGGGGUCAUCCCGACUUACCAACCCGAUGCAAACUGCGAAUACCGGAGAAUGUUAUCACGGGAGACACACGGCGGGUGCUAACGUCCGUCGUGAAGAGGGAAACAACCCAGACCGCCAGCUAAGGUCCCAAAGUCAUGGUUAAGUGGGAAACGAUGUGGGAAGGCCCAGACAGCCAGGAUGUUGGCUUAGAAGCAGCCAUCAUUUAAAGAAAGCGUAAUAGCUCACUGGUCGAGUCGGCCUGCGCGGAAGAUGUAACGGGGCUAAACCAUGCACCGAAGCUGCGGCAGCGACACUAUGUGUUGUUGGGUAGGGGAGCGUUCUGUAAGCCUGUGAAGGUGUGCUGUGAGGCAUGCUGGAGGUAUCAGAAGUGCGAAUGCUGACAUAAGUAACGAUAAAGCGGGUGAAAAGCCCGCUCGCCGGAAGACCAAGGGUUCCUGUCCAACGUUAAUCGGGGCAGGGUGAGUCGACCCCUAAGGCGAGGCCGAAAGGCGUAGUCGAUGGGAAACAGGUUAAUAUUCCUGUACUUGGUGUUACUGCGAAGGGGGGACGGAGAAGGCUAUGUUGGCCGGGCGACGGUUGUCCCGGUUUAAGCGUGUAGGCUGGUUUUCCAGGCAAAUCCGGAAAAUCAAGGCUGAGGCGUGAUGACGAGGCACUACGGUGCUGAAGCAACAAAUGCCCUGCUUCCAGGAAAAGCCUCUAAGCAUCAGGUAACAUCAAAUCGUACCCCAAACCGACACAGGUGGUCAGGUAGAGAAUACCAAGGCGCUUGAGAGAACUCGGGUGAAGGAACUAGGCAAAAUGGUGCCGUAACUUCGGGAGAAGGCACGCUGAUAUGUAGGUGAGGUCCCUCGCGGAUGGAGCUGAAAUCAGUCGAAGAUACCAGCUGGCUGCAACUGUUUAUUAAAAACACAGCACUGUGCAAACACGAAAGUGGACGUAUACGGUGUGACGCCUGCCCGGUGCCGGAAGGUUAAUUGAUGGGGUUAGCGCAAGCGAAGCUCUUGAUCGAAGCCCCGGUAAACGGCGGCCGUAACUAUAACGGUCCUAAGGUAGCGAAAUUCCUUGUCGGGUAAGUUCCGACCUGCACGAAUGGCGUAAUGAUGGCCAGGCUGUCUCCACCCGAGACUCAGUGAAAUUGAACUCGCUGUGAAGAUGCAGUGUACCCGCGGCAAGACGGAAAGACCCCGUGAACCUUUACUAUAGCUUGACACUGAACAUUGAGCCUUGAUGUGUAGGAUAGGUGGGAGGCUUAGAAGUGUGGACGCCAGUCUGCAUGGAGCCGACCUUGAAAUACCACCCUUUAAUGUUUGAUGUUCUAACGUUGACCCGUAAUCCGGGUUGCGGACAGUGUCUGGUGGGUAGUUUGACUGGGGCGGUCUCCUCCUAAAGAGUAACGGAGGAGCACGAAGGUUGGCUAAUCCUGGUCGGACAUCAGGAGGUUAGUGCAAUGGCAUAAGCCAGCUUGACUGCGAGCGUGACGGCGCGAGCAGGUGCGAAAGCAGGUCAUAGUGAUCCGGUGGUUCUGAAUGGAAGGGCCAUCGCUCAACGGAUAAAAGGUACUCCGGGGAUAACAGGCUGAUACCGCCCAAGAGUUCAUAUCGACGGCGGUGUUUGGCACCUCGAUGUCGGCUCAUCACAUCCUGGGGCUGAAGUAGGUCCCAAGGGUAUGGCUGUUCGCCAUUUAAAGUGGUACGCGAGCUGGGUUUAGAACGUCGUGAGACAGUUCGGUCCCUAUCUGCCGUGGGCGCUGGAGAACUGAGGGGGGCUGCUCCUAGUACGAGAGGACCGGAGUGGACGCAUCACUGGUGUUCGGGUUGUCAUGCCAAUGGCACUGCCCGGUAGCUAAAUGCGGAAGAGAUAAGUGCUGAAAGCAUCUAAGCACGAAACUUGCCCCGAGAUGAGUUCUCCCUGACCCUUUAAGGGUCCUGAAGGAACGUUGAAGACGACGACGUUGAUAGGCCGGGUGUGUAAGCGCAGCGAUGCGUUGAGCUAACCGGUACUAAUGAACCGUGAGGCUUAACCUU